rnacentral:rRNA from 1 species
GACGAACGCUGGCGGCGUGCCUAAUACAUGCAAGUAGAACGCACAGUUUAUACCGUAGCUUGCUACACCAUAGACUGUGAGUUGCGAACGGGUGAGUAACGCGUAGGUAACCUGCCUGGUAGCGGGGGAUAACUAUUGGAAACGAUAGCUAAUACCGCAUAAUAUUGAUUAUUGCAUGAUAAUUGAUUGAAAGAUGCUAUUGCAUCACUACCAGAUGGACCUGCGUUGUAUUAGCUAGUAGGUGAGGUAACGGCUCACCUAGGCGACGAUACAUAGCCGACCUGAGAGGGUGAUCGGCCACACUGGGACUGAGACACGGCCCAGACUCCUACGGGAGGCAGCAGUAGGGAAUCUUCGGCAAUGGACGAAAGUCUGACCGAGCAACGCCGCGUGAGUGAAGAAGGUUGUCGGAUCGUAAAGCUCUGUUGUAAGAGAAGAACGGGUGUGGGAGUGGAAAGUUCACACUGUGACGGUAUCUUACCAGAAAGGGACGGCUAACUACGUG